CACGAUGUCACACCACUAAUGUAGGGCCUGGUCUUGUCUAGGUCUGUCUCAAACUGUCACUGGUUUUAACAGAAGUUUAGGCCAAUACACACUGCAGAAUCAGGUUUGGAAAAGAAACAUUGCUGGGGAGGAAUCCAAUGAAUUUAUUAAUGAGCUCAAGUUAAAAGCUGGUAAAGGACAGCAGAAUAUUUCGGGUCAACCAGAAAUUCUUGAUUUCAAAGUACAGCUCCAGCUUAUGAAAGAAACCUGAA